rnacentral:lncRNA from 1 species
UCCACUUUACAUCAACAAUAAAUUGAACAAUAAAUUGACAAAGUUAUUCAAGGCCAAAUUUGACGUGUUAAAGCACACUUUGACAUCCAGGUUUGUUCGUUAUAAACUUCACGUGAAGAAAUUGACGAAAAAGAAAAUUGUUCUAUUUUUUCAUUUAUUUGGCGUGAAUUCAGUGUCACCAACCUGUGUCCAUUUGGCGGGAAGUGGAAGUAGAGCUUUUUGUUUAUUAUUAUUUGUUGAGGUUUUCAUGUUCAUGACAACCUAAAAAUUUUGAUUGGAAAAUGCAUAUAAGAUAAGGGGGUGGGAAAAUGGAAAUUAGUGGCUUUUUUUGCAGUUCUGUCUGUUAGUUUUGCGUUUUGCUCUGGCUGGGUCUCUUUUGUUUAAACAAUUAUAAUCAGCUGAAAGUGGUCUACAAAAAAACCAGGAAGGAAACGUAUUAUAGCCUUGUUGUGGCUAUGAAAGGCAAAAGAAAGAUACCUAUAAAAAGUGUAUUGACUAGUUGGAAGAAACUCCACAUUGUCGAUGCAUAAUAAGAUAUUACUUUAUAAACAAAUAUCAAGACCUAGGAAUGGAACCUGGAUAAUAUAGUCAUCAAGAAGAUAGCAGGAAGUCAUGAGCAACAACAACUUCAUAAGUAUGAGAAUAUUGAGGAAAUCCACACUCCUCGAUAUCUACUACUGGACAAACUAGAAGAUUGAAGAGGACAAAGCCUUUUGAACUAGUUUGAGUGAUAGGUGAUAGUGAAAAGCAGAGCGUAGUGCUUGUGUGCCUGUGUAUGUUAGAAUAGUGCACGAUCUUGUUAGAUUAGAUAAGAGACGCUAUGGGGUAAGCUCUUCAUUUUAAGGAACAGUAGUAAUUUAGGUUAAAUUAAAUUUGCUCAUUGGUCAGUUAUGACCAGAUUGUAAUUCUCUGAUGUUUGGCAAAAAGGGCUCAAGUCAGAAUUGCACAUCAAUAAUGUUUUGAUGAUUUCUGGACCAUAAAAAAAGUGUUGCAGACUUACACUGUAUGUACCAAUAAAAAGAGCCGAUUUUUCUGGUCCAGAAAUCAUCAAAACAUUAUCGAUGUGCAAUUCUGACUUGAGCCCUUUUUCCCAAACAUCAGAGAAUUGCAAUGUACAAUUCAAUACAAAUGAAUCAUCAUCCUAGUGAUGAUUAUGGAAAAAAAUAUAUGACAAGAUUUUGUGCAAUAAAAAUGUUUAUAUUUA